CUUGUUCAGCAUGAAAUAUACUAAAACUGGUGCAAUACAGAGAAGAUUAGCAUGGUCCAUGUGCAAGGACAACACACACAUUUCUGAUGCAUUUAGUCUUGCA